CCAUCGUACAACAAUGUGCCAAGAGGUUGCCGUGUAGUGAAGAAGUCUGGUGAAUUUUGCAUAGUAGUUUAAUGUCAGGACGGAUACUUCUUUUUCUCAUCCGCAAACAUCGGUUCCCUAGCUAAUGGCUUGGCUCUAAGUGUUUCUAACCCUCCAGCAGGAAAAACACAAGUGCAGCCAACUUUACCAUCAGGGGAGGUGUUGCCAUUGGGAGCUGGUAGUGCAGGCUUUACGGCACCAACAAUAAAUGGAUGUUUAUAUUAAAGGACAGUUGUACAUUAAGGACCAGGCUUGGAAAGAUGGAUGUGAAUUUUCUUGUAUCAGCAAGGAUGCCAGUACAGGACUUUAUUCAUGCAAACACAACUUCAGCCUCCACUCAGUGUGUCAUAUAGACUUGAGUUCUUUGGUGUGGCAAUCAUCAACUGUAUUCUAUCAUUCUAGAGACAUUCCUUCUCGACCAUGCUGUUAUCAGAGAAAAGUUCAUGCGAUUGAAGGAACGUUGGUUCCUGUCCCUCAAGUCCAAAAUAUAGCGCCAUUGAGGAGGAGAUAGUAUCUACACCAGGAUAGCCACCUGUCGGAGGAGGCCCUAUUACAGCUCUAUAUUGGGAUGAUGUCAGCUUCUCAGAGCUGUAUACGCAGGGGACGGACAAAAUGUUGCCAAGUAAUGCAUACUCAAAGGACAGUUCAGUGUAUUGCUCAUCACAAUCUCUUGGAUUCACGCUAAAAACGCCAACAAGUGAAAAUCCAAUUACAUCUGCAAGUUCAGUUGUCAGUAUGCCUAAAAGCUCAGCAUCUGAUGCUGGUGAGGGAAGUAAGUUAGCUUCUGGAACCAUAGCAGAAACUGUUGAAAUAGAGGACAUUCCUGGUGAUGAAGGGUAGAUUGCGGGAGCUGUAGAUUGGAGAGGAAGCACAAAAAAUGUACUCUUGGUUCAACAAGAGGCAGAGCAGCCUUCUAGAUGACACCCUUGUGUCACUGAACACUAUUUAUAUAUAAUGUCUUUGUUUUAGAUAGUUAAUAAAUAUUUGUCACUGAUGUAUGUGAAAUUGGCUUUCUUUAGACUAAUAAUUUCAUUUUAUUGGCUUUAUUUUAGCUGCAUUUCAUGUUGAGUGAAUUAGGGUUAUCGGAGUCUUACUGAUUAGACUAGGCUGUAAGUUAAAAUUUCAGAUUCAGGUCUUGCUAACUGGCCUAGAUUUGUUUUCACCAUAAUAUUAUUAUAUCUGCAUCACUUGUUUCUUAAUGGAUAAUUGUUCAAAGUAAAAUUCAUGUACACAUGCCUUACUUAACCUUUAGCUAUGGAUUAGUCCAUCAUUCAAUUAAGGCAGUACCAUGGGUUGUUCACCUACCUUACUUAAACACAUAUAAACUGCUAAUAUGUUUUUGCCAAGAGCUGUCAACAUUCCAAUAAGAAUUUGAUUCAAAGACUCCAGCUAAAUUUAUUUUACUAUAAUUUCUGUUUGACACGUUGUUUUUUUACAUGAUUUUUAUUUUCUAGGUUCUGGAGGUGUUGAUUUACUAAGAAACUGUACUAGAUCUAGAUACAUUUAAAUAGAAAAUGUCUGUCCUGUCUUCAGAAGUUAUAUUCCGUUGAUCUUGUCCAGUGAGGGCAAAUAUCCAACUGUGAAUUUAUGUUCUAAAAGAUUUAUUAUGUCUCCCCCAGGAGACAUAUUGUUUUUGCCCUGUCCGUCCUUCCGUCCGUCCGUACGUCACACUUCAUUUCCGAGCAAUAACUGGAGAACCAUUUGACCUAGAACCUUCAAACUUCAUAGGUUUGUAGGGCUGCUGGAGUAGACGACCCCUAUUGUUUUUGGGGUCACUCCGUCAAAGGUCAAGGUCACAGGGGCCUGAACAUUGAAAACCAUUUCCGAUCAAUAACUAGAGAACCACUUGACCCAGAAUGUUGAAACUUCAUAGGAUGAUUGGUCAUGAAGAGUAGACGACCCCUAUUGAUUUUGGGGUCACUCCGUCAAAGGUCAAGGUCACAGGGGCCUGAACAUUGAAAACCAUUUCCGAUCAAUAACUAGAGAACCACUUGACCCAGAAUGUUGAAACUUCAUAGGAUGAUUGGACAUGAAGAGUAGACGACCCCUAUUGAUUUUGGGGUCACUCCGUCAAAGGUCAAGGUCACAGGGGCCUGAACAUUGAAAACCAUUUCCGAUCAAUAACUAGAGAACCACUUGACCCAGAAUGUUGAAACUUCAUAGGAUGAUUGGUCAUGAAGAAUAGAUGACCCCUAUUGAUUUUGGGGUCACUCGGUCAAAGGUCAAGGUCACAGGGGCCUGAACAUUGAAAACCAUUUCCGAUCAAUAACUAGAGAACCACUUGACCCAGAAUGUUGAAACUUCAUAGGAUGAUUGGUCAUGAAGAGUAGAUGACCCCUAUUGAUUUUGGGGUCACUCCGUCAAAGGUCAAGGUCACAGGGGCCUGAACAUGGAAAACCAUUUCCGAUCAAUAACUAGAGAACCACUUGACCCAGAAUGUUGAAACUUCAUAGGAUGAUUGGUCAUGAAGAGUAGAUGACCCCUAUUGAUUUUGGGGUCACUCCAUUAAAGGUCAAGGUCACAGGGCCUGAACAUGGAAAACCAUUUCCGAUCAAUAACUAGAGAACCACUUGACCCAGAAUGUUGAAACUUCAUAGGAUGAUUGUACAUGCAAAGUAGAUGACCCCUAUCGAUUUUGGGGUCACUCCAUUAAAGGUCAAGGUCACAGGGGCCUGAACAUUGAAAACCAUUUCCGGUCAGUAACUUGAGAACCACUUGACCCAGAAUGAUGAAACUUAAUAGGAUGAUUGGUCAUGCAGAGUAGAUGACCCCUAACGAUUUUAGGGUCACUCUGUUAAAGGUCAAGGCCACAGGGGCCUGAACAUGGAAAACCAUUUCCAAUCAAUAACUUGAGAACCUCUCGACCCAGAAUGUUGAAACUUCAUAGGAUGAUUGUUCAUGCAGAGUAAAUGACCCCUAUUGUUUUUGGGGUCACUCCGUUAAAGGUCAAGGUCACAGGGGCCUGAACAUUGAUAACCAGUUCCAAGUAAUAACUUGAGAACCACUUGACCCAGAAUGUUGAAACUUCAUAGGAUGAUUGAACAUGCAGAGUAGAUGACCCCUAUUGAUUUUGGGGUCAGUCUAUUAAAGGUCAAGGUCACAGUGGCCUGUUCAUGUAAAAUCAUUUUUUGGAAAUAACUUGAGAACCACUUGACCUAGAAUGUUGAAACUUAAUAGGAUGAUUGGACAUGCAGAGUAGAUGACCCCUAUUUAUUUUGAGGUCACUUGAUCAAAGGUCAAGGUCACAGGAGCCUGAACAGUGACUUGAGAACCACUAGGCCAAGAGUGUUGAAAUUUAGCGGGAUGACUGGACAUGCCAAGUAGAUGAUCCCUAUUGCAGCUAACCAUCAGUGUCUCUUUGACUUUCGCUCCUGACCCCUAUUGACUUCUUGCCUAUAGGACUUUGCAUUGGGGGAGACAUGCGCUUUUUUACAAAAGCAUUUUCUAGUUUAAGUUUAAAUGUGUCUGUUUUGAAUGUUUGUGAGGGGUAUACUCAUUUGCCCUUGUCCCUCAGUCUGUAUUUUUGUAAAUAAAGGUCAUUUUCCUUACACAUGUUUAAGUUGAUUUUUCCUAAGGCCAGGGUCACAAAGCAUGACUUUUUUUUUUAUACGCCCGAAGGGACGUAUUAUGUAAUGACGCUGGUGUCCGUCUGUCCGUCCGUCUGUCCGUCUGUCCGUUAGCAAUUUCGUGUCCGCUCUGUAACUCUUGAACCCCUUGCAGGAUUUCAAGGAAACUUGACACAAAUGUUCACCACACCCAGACGACGUGCAGAGCGCAUGUUCCGGAUGUCUCGCUUCAAGGUCAAGGUCACACUUAGGAGUCAAAGGUCAUAUCAGUUUGUUUCGUGUCCGCUCUGUAACUCUUGAACCCCUUGAAGGAUUUCAAAGAAACUUGACACAAAUGUUCACCACACCCAGAUGACGUGCAGAGCGCAUGUUCCGGAUGUCUCGCUUCAAGGUCAAGGUCACACUUAGGAGUCAAAGGUCAUAUAAGUUUGUUUCGUGUCCGCUCUGUAACUCUUGAACCCCUUGAAGGAUUUCAAAGAAACUUGACACAAAUGUUCACCACACCAAGACGACGUGCAGAGCGCAUGUUCCGGAUGACUAGCUUCAAGGUCAAGGUCACACUUAGGGGUCAAAAGUCAUAUCAGUUUGUUUCAUGUCCGCUCUGUAACUCUUGAACUGCUGGAAGGAUUUCAAAGAAACUUGGCAGAAAUGUUCACCACAUUGCAACGAUGUGCACAGCGCAUGUUCCGGAUGACUCGCUACAAGGUCAAGGUCACACUUAAGGGUCAAAGGUCAUAUAUGACUUUGCUUUGUGUAUAUUGCUCUGCAUUGCAGUGCUCUUGUUUUUAUUUGGCAGAUCUCUUUUUUUGUACUUACAAUAAUUUUUUUUUGAAUUACUUCCCUUUUAUGUUACUAUAAAUAGCUUAUUUUAUACUUUUUUAUUAUUGGCCGUACGGAAAAACCGAGACCACUUUUCUGCGGUACAACAUGGAUGGUACCUCCAAUUUUAAGGUGUAUUUUUACAUACCUGUACCUGAUAAAGAUUUUUUUGUAGACUUUGAAUUUUUUUUUGUGGACUUAGAUUUGUUUUUUGAAGUUUUCCUUUUGUUGUUCCAGUCCUUUGGGGCUUCAACAGUCAAGUUCUUAAAAUUUUGCUCCUAUCCUAUGAUGUAAGCCUUCGGGCGUAUAUUGCCCCGCUUGGCGGCGCUCUUGUUUUUUGGAUGUCUUGGUCAUAAUUUGAUGAUAUUUUUUUCCAUACUAAACAUGACAUUUGUUACUUAUUGUAAAAAGACUGUGAGAAUAUCAUUGCAAGCAUAGAGUGCAACCAAGCAAAAUAAUAGCAGACUCGGCUUGAUUCAGUUUGUUAAUGAGAGGUAAUGGAAUAUGCCCCUGCAGAAUUCUGUUGCAUAGAUAAUGUAUGUACUCCAUAAUCCCAAAUAAGGUUGUUUUAGUCAUCUGCACACUAAAUAGUUGGUCUAGAAUGGGCAGACUUCCACAGAUUGCAGUGCUUAUAAAGACCGUCUUUAUAAAUGUUUGUAACCAACUUCUUUUUUAACAACACUGUUUGUGCUUACACAUUAUCAAAAGAAAAGUGCAAAGACAUAUUUUUGCAAGAAAAAAUAUUUAGUCGGAUAAAGACUCAAAUGGUAAUGGUGGUGUAGAACCUAAGCUUCCGUGAUAAAUUAUUAUACAACAAUCAUUUCAUGGUGAAUAUGCCACCUUAAUGUCAAGCAUGGAUUUACCUUGAGAUGUUUGCAAAAUAAUGCAGUGAAGGUAAGGAAACUCUGCAGCCCCUCACCCCUUCAAAAAAUAUCUGAGAAUUAUUUGCAUAUAUGCAUACAUAUGUAUGCGACUUCCAUUUGUCCUGCGCUGUUUUUCCUGCUUAAAGCAACUGGGUGAAAUUUUUCAACAUAGUUAUUUCCACCAAGUUUAGCAUAGAAUAUAUAUGUGACACUGAAAAAAGAUAAAAUGGGUAAAAAUAAAAGUUAGAUAUUGGUAAAAUGCAAGAAGAAUGUAAAUUUUUAUGCCCCCCUUCGAAGAAGGAGGGGUAUAUUGUUUUGCAGACAAUCCGUUUCCGGAUGAUAACUCAAGAACGCUUGGGCCUAGGAUCAUGAAAGUUGAUAGGGAGGUUGGUCAUCACCAGCAGAUGACCCCUAUUGAUUUUGAGGUCUAUGUCAAAGGUCAAGGUCACAGUGACCCUGAAUAGUAAAACGGUUUCCGGAUGAUAACUCAAGAAC